rnacentral:rRNA from 1 species
CCUACGGGCGGCAGCAGUGAGGAAUAUUGGUCAAUGGGCGCGAGCCUGAACCAGCCAAGUCGCGUGCGGGAAGACGGCCCUAUGGAUUGUAAACUUCUUUUGUCCGGGGGCAAAAGGCGCCACGCGUGGCGUUCCGAAAGUACCCGAUGAAAAAGCAUCGGCUAACUCCGUGCCAGCAGCCGCGGUAAUACGGAGGGUGCGAGCGUUAUCCGGAUUUAUUGGGUUUAAAGGGUGCGCAGGCGGGAUGUUAAGCGCGGCGUGAAAUGUCGGGGCUCAACCUUGGCCGUGCGGUGAGAACUGGUUUGCUUGAGUGAGCGGAAAGUAUGCGGAAUUCGUGGUGUAGCGGUGAAAUGCAUAGAUAUCACGAAGAACUCCGAUUGCGAAGGCAGCAUACGGGCGCUCAACUGACGCUGAUGCACGAAGGUGUGGGUAUCGAACAGGAUUAGAUACCCCAGUAGUC